AGGCGGAUAAAUUCAAUCUACCGGAUAGCUUUUGCUGGUGACCACGGAUGUACUGGCACCGUGCGGAUGCAAUCAAAGAAGGGUCGGCGCGAGCAUUCGCCCCGACCUUUUUCUUU
rnacentral:sRNA from 1 species